rnacentral:rRNA from 1 species
UACGAAGGGGGUUAGCGUUGCUCGGAAUCACUGGGCGUAAAGGGUGCGUAGGCGGGUCUUUAAGUCAGGGGUGAAAUCCUGGAGCUCAACUCCAGAACUGCCUUUGAUACUGAGGAUCUUGAGUUCGGGAGAGGUGAGUGGAACUGCGAGUGUAGAGGUGAAAUUCGUAGAUAUUCGCAAGAACACCAGUGGCGAAGGCGGCUCACUGGCCCGAUACUGACGCUGAGGCACGAAAGCGUGGGGAGCAAACAGG